rnacentral:rRNA from 1 species
CCUACGGGGUGCAGCAGUGGGGGAUAUUGCACAAUGGGGGAAACCCUGAUGCAGCGACGCCGCGUGGGUGAAGAAGCGCCUCGGCGCGUAAAGGCCUGUCAGCAGGGAAGAAAAUGACGGUACCUGAAGAAGCAGCCCCGGCUAACUACGUGCCAGCAGCCGCGGUCAUACGUAGGGGGCAAGCGUUAUCCGGAUUUACUGUGUGUAAAGGGGGCGGAGACGGCGAUGCAAGCCAGGAGUGAAAGCCCGUGGCCCAACCCCGGGACUGCUCUUGGAACUGCGUGGCUAGAGUGCAGGAGGGGAAGGCGGAAUUCCUGGGGUAGCGGUGAAAUGCGUAGAUAUCAGGAGGAACACCGGUGGCGAAGGCGGCCUGCUGGACUGCAACUGACGUUGAGGCCCGAAAGCGUGGGGAGCAAACAGGAUUAGAUACCCGUGUAGUC